UUCCUGAAGCUGUGGCACAGUAAAUCUUAGUACCCACCUACCCUUGACACUUUUUAAUUCCAUUACAUUUUGAAACAUAUAUGUUUCAGUUAAUAAAAUGUCUGGGCAGCAAAAUAGUAAAUUCUUUGUAGAAGUUGAUUUCUAGGUCAGAAAAAUUUAAACUAUGAAGUUGUUAACUAAAGUCAAUUUACAUAUAUCUUGCUUCAUUUUUCUUUCAGUGUUAGGAAGGAAAAAAUGAACAGCUAGGGAAUAUAUGAUUAGUCCAAAAUGGAUGAAUUGAAUUCAUUUGAUAAAUGUAAUUGCUCUUAAACACCAACUUCAUUAAACAGGGAACAAUUUGCAGAAAACAAAGGGGUAUGCAAAUUCCAGCAUGCCUUCUAUUUUACGUUAGCCCUUCUGUAGGUUUAUGCAGGGCUGAGAUAACUUGACUUCAGUGUUGAGUGGAUGGCUUUAUUGAGGGCAGAUUAUUUGUGUGCAAUGUCAAGGCUAUACUGGUGGCUCUGGGAAGUUUAACUUUGAGAAAACAGAUGACAGAUGCUGAGAUGAGCAUCAGGAUUGAAAUACACAGUAAUGAUGAUUUCUCAUUAAGGUGCAGGUAAGAAAACCUGGGCAGUAAGCAAUACAGUUGCCAAGGCCACAGGCUAUGUUCUCACUAGUUCAGAAGGCCAGGUAUAUAUUUAUUGUUCACCCCUCAAUGUUUACUUUCUCUUUUAAUAAAAUUUGGGAUAGGCACUAUUUGGUAGAGAAAGGAAUCAUUACCAGUGGUGAAACUAUACCUUUUGACCCUUGACAACUUCACAGUAGUAAACUUAGACGGGAUCUUUUUUUUCUUUUUUUGAGACCAGUUUUGAUCAGACUACUGCAUAUGUCAGAUAAACCCUAAAGUAGGAAAGCAGAUGUGUCCUCAUUAUCCCUCCAAACUCUGAGAGCUGGGCAUGAAGUUUUUGAGUAUAGCUUUGCAUAUUGUGUGAGCUGAGUUUCAGGGUGCUAGAAGCUCAUUUUAACAAGGGCAAUUUAAUCACUAGCCAGAAUGACUAUAUUUGCUUAAGUAAGAGUUUCUUUUGAAAAGAAAUUAAAAUUUAGAUAGGACAUCCUAACCUCAGAGUACAAAAUAGUCCAUUUAAGAAAAACUUACCCAAAUCGUUAAGAGGAUAGUUGAGUUAUAAGCAUCUUUGCUCUGGAGUUCCUGUUGUGGCUCAGUGGUUGACAAAUCUGACUAGGAAACAUGAGGUUAUGGACUUGAUCCCUGGCCUCCUUCAGCGGGUUAAAGAUCCAGUGUUGCCGUGAGCUGUGGUGUAUGUCGCAGACAUGGCUCGGAUCUGGUGUUGCUGUGGCUGUGGUGUAGGCUGUCGCUACAGCUCCAAUUAGACCCCUACCUAGCCUGGGAACCUCCAUGUG
rnacentral:lncRNA from 1 species